CCUGCCAAGUUAGGUUUUUUAAGGGUUUAUUAUUUAUCCACGGAUUUAACCAAAACCGUGAAAAGCAACACAUUUUUGGUUAUUCCGACGAUAUAGAACCACCGAUUUGCGACUAGAAACUCCCAAGAGGCACGAGAAAAAUGGCUAGAGACAGCGUUCUCACCCGCGUAGCAACAGGAGCCGCCGUGGGCGGUGCUAUCGGCGGCGCAGUCGGUGCUGUUUAUGGGACAUACGAUGCGAUUAGGUUCCUGGAGCCCUCAAGAUAAGGCACAUUGGACAGACAACUCUAGGAAGUGCAGCUGUAUUUAGCUUGUUCCUUGCUGCAGGAAGCUUGAUUCGUUCUCACUAAUUUGUUUCAUAUUAUAAUGUGCUUAUGUCAUAAUUACUAGCUUUUCCUUUGAAUUUUAACAAGCACAGAAUUGCCUUGUUCGUAAUCAUGUGAGAUGUAAUCUUUUUCGUGUCCAAAAAUAACUUAACUGUUAUGUUAUUGCCUUUUCAAAA